rnacentral:rRNA from 1 species
AACGAACGCUGGCGGCAGGCCUAACACAUGCAAGUCGAGCGAGGACUUCGGUCCUAGCGGCGUACGGGUGAGUAACGCGUGGGAACGUGCCCUUUGCUUCGGAAUAGCCCUGGGAAACUGGGAGUAAUACCGGAUGAGCCCUUUGGGGGAAAGAUUUAUCGGCGAAGGAUCGGCCCGCGUUGGAUUAGGUAGUUGGUGGGGUAAUGGCCUACCAAGCCGACGAUCCAUAGCUGGUUUGAGAGGAUGAUCAGCCACACUGGGACUGAGACACGGCCCAGACUCCUACGGGAGGCAGCAGUGGGGAAUCUUAGACAAUGGGGGAAACCCUGAUCUAGCCAUGCCGCGUGAGCGAUGAAGGCCUUAGGGUUGUAAAGCUCUUUCAGCUGGGAAGAUAAUGACGGUACCAGCAGAAGAAGCCCCGGCUAACUCCGUG